rnacentral:rRNA from 1 species
CGUUCUGUAAGCCUGCGAAGGUGUGCUGUGAGGCAUGCUGGAGGUAUCAGAAGUGCGAAUGCUGACAUAAGUAACGAUAAAGCGGGUGAAAAGCCCGCUCGCCGGAAGACCAAGGGUUCCUGUCCAACGUUAAUCGGGGCAGGGUGAGUCGACCCCUAAGGCGAGGCCGAAAGGCGUAGUCGAUGGGAAACAGGUUAAUAUUCCUGUACUUGGUGUUACUGCGAAGGGGGGACGGAGAAGGCUAUGUUGGCCGGGCGACGGUUGUCCCGGUUUAAGCGUGUAGGCUGGUUUUCCAGGCAAAUCCGGAAAAUCAAGGCUGAGGCGUGAUGACGAGGCACUACGGUGCUGAAGCAACAAAUGCCCUGCUUCCAGGAAAAGCCUCUAAGCAUCAGGUAACAUCAAAUCGUACCCCAAACCGACACAGGUGGUCAGGUAGAGAAUACCAAGGCGCUUGAGAGAACUCGGGUGAAGGAACUAGGCAAAAUGGUGCCGUAACUUCGGGAGAAGGCACGCUGAUAUGUAGGUGAGGUCCCUCGCGGAUGGAGCUGAAAUCAGUCGAAGAUACCAGCUGGCUGCAACUGUUUAUUAAAAACACAGCACUGUGCAAACACGAAAGUGGACGUAUACGGUGUGACGCCUGCCCGGUGCCGGAAGGUUAAUUGAUGGGGUUAGCGCAAGCGAAGCUCUUGAUCGAAGCCCCGGUAAACGGCGGCCGUAACUAUAACGGUCCUAAGGUAGCGAAAUUCCUUGUCGGGUAAGUUCCGACCUGCACGAAUGGCGUAAUGAUGGCCAGGCUGUCUCCACCCGAGACUCAGUGAAAUUGAACUCGCUGUGAAGAUGCAGUGUACCCGCGGCAAGACGGAAAGACCCCGUGAACCUUUACUAUAGCUUGACACUGAACAUUGAGCCUUGAUGUGUAGGAUAGGUGGGAGGCUUAGAAGUGUGGACGCCAGUCUGCAUGGAGCCGACCUUGAAAUACCACCCUUUAAUGUUUGAUGUUCUAACGUGGACCCGUAAUCCGGGUUGCGGACAGUGUCUGGUGGGUAGUUUGACUGGGGCGGUCUCCUCCUAAAGAGUAACGGAGGAGCACGAAGGUUGGCUAAUCCUGGUCGGACAUCAGGAGGUUAGUGCAAUGGCAUAAGCCAGCUUGACUGCGAGCGUGACGGCGCGAGCAGGUGCGAAAGCAGGUCAUAGUGAUCCGGUGGUUCUGAAUGGAAGGGCCAUCGCUCAACGGAUAAAAGGUACUCCGGGGAUAACAGGCUGAUACCGCCCAAGAGUUCAUAUCGACGGCGGUGUUUGGCACCUCGAUGUCGGCUCAUCACAUCCUGGGGCUGAAGUAGGUCCCAAGGGUAUGGCUGUUCGCCAUUUAAAGUGGUACGCGAGCUGGGUUUAGAACGUCGUGAGACAGUUCGGUCCCUAUCUGCCGUGGGCGCUGGAGAACUGAGGGGGGCUGCUCCUAGUACGAGAGGACCGGAGUGGACGCAUCACUGGUGUUCGGGUUGUCAUGCCAAUGGCACUGCCCGGUAGCUAAAUGCGGAAGAGAUAAGUGCUGAAAGCAUCUAAGCACGAAACUUGCC